rnacentral:ncRNA from 2 species
AACGCACCUUGCACCCUUUGGUAUUCCGAAGGGUAUGCCUGUUUGAGUGUCAUUAAAUUCUCAAAGGCCCAGUUGGUUUUAACAAUCGAUCGGGACUUUGGACUGUGAGGGUUGCCGGUUCUUAACUGGAUCGGACUCCCUUGAAAUACAUUAGUGGUUAUCGAUCCGCUUCCACUUGGUUGUGAUAGUCUAUCUACGCCUUUGGAGCUGGUCAACUUGUUAUCCGCUUCUAACUGUCCAUCCGAUGGACAAACUCUUUGACAAUUUGACCUCAAAUCAGGUAGGACUACCCGCUGAACUUAA